rnacentral:rRNA from 1 species
UACGUAGGUGGCAAGCGUUGUCCGGAUUUACUGGGCGUAAAGAGCGCGCAGGCGGUCGUUCAAGUCGCGUGUGAAAGCCCCCGGCUCAACUGGGGAGGGUCACGCGAUACUGAUCGACUCGAGGGCAAGAGAGGGAAGUGGAAUUCCCGGUGUAGCGGUGAAAUGCGUAGAUAUCGGGAGGAACAUCAGUGGCGAAGGCGGCUGCCUGGCCCAAUACUGACACUCAGGUGCGACAGCGUGGGGAGCAAACAGGG